GCCUGGGUGGCUUAGUCAGUUGAGCAUUCGACUUUGGCUCGGAUCACAAUCUCACAGUUCAUGGGUUCGAGCCCCACAUUGGGCU
rfam:Felis catus isolate Cinnamon breed Abyssinian chromosome C1, whole genome shotgun sequence.